AACAAACGCUGGCGGCGUGCCUAAUACAAGCAAGUCGAACGGGGUAGCAAUACCUAGUGGCGCACGGGUGAGGAACGCGUGGAUAAUCUGCCUUAGAGUGGGGGAUAACUAGUCGAAAGAUUAGCUAAUACCGCAUAAGACCACAGGAGCUGCGGCUCUAGGGGUCAAAGGUUUUUCGCUCUAAGAUGAGUCCGCGUAAGAUUAGCUAGUUGGUGAGGUAACGGCUCACCAAGGCGACGAUCUUUAACUGGUCUGAGAGGAUGAUCAGUCACACUGGAACUGAGACACGGUCCAGACUCCUACGGGAGGCAGCAGUAGGGAAUAUUGCACAAUGGAGGAAACUCUGAUGCAGCGACGCCGCGUGAGUGAUGAAGGCCUUCGGGUCGUAAAGCUCUGUCGCAGGGGAAUAACACAAUGAAUGUACCCUGUAAGAAAGGAUCGGCUAACUUCGUGCCAGCCGCCGCAGUAAUAC
rnacentral:rRNA from 1 species